rnacentral:lncRNA from 1 species
UUAGUGCUAAGUUUUAAACCUCGAUUCUCGGGAUGCGAGCCAUAGGUCGGAACACUAUUAACGACCCUCCAGAAAAUGUGAAAAAAUUUGGAACACAAAUCAAACACUCGAACCUUGAAAUUUACAAAGGUCCAGCGUAUUACACGGGGCGUGACAGAUAGAGUGGUAUUAGAGAAUGAAAAGUGAAAGUAUAGGAUGGACCUAUGAAACCUUAGGAUGGAAACCUCGUUUGGUUCAGAGAUAAACAAAAAGUGACUAUUCCAGGGAUAGGUAUAAAUUGAGGUAUAAGCGAGAAUUAGAUCAAUUUUGCAUUUGGAUAAAAAUUGGGUUAUUCCUGGGAAUAAAAAAAAUAGCGUUUGGUUAGCUAAGAUGGAAUAAGAAUGAUAGUGAGUUUUAUAAAUAAAAAGAAUGAUAUUAUCCUCUUAUUAUAUUUGAAUUUAAAUUUUUAAAUUUUUAAAUUUAUAUUUUUAAAUUUAAAAUUUUAACUUUGAAAUUUUAAAAUUUGAAAUUUAAAAUCUCAAAUUUAAAAUUCAAAAUUUUAAAUUUUAAAUUUCAAACUUUAAAUUUAAGAUCAAAUUUAAAUUUGAAAAAUAUAAAAUAUCAAAUUUUAAAUUUCAAAUUAAAAUAUCAAAAUUUAAAUUUAAAUUUUUAAAUUAUAAACUUUAAUUUUGAGAUUAUAAAUUAUAAAUUUUAAAAAUUUAAAUUUUUAAUUUUUAAAAUUUUAAAAUAAGAAUAAGGGUGGGAACAAUUAAUAAAAAUAAUUUAUUAUAAUAAAUUUAUAAAUUUUUUUAAAAUUAUACUUCAACUUAAAUUUAAUAAAAAAAAUUUAUUAUAAUAUUUAAAUAUAAUUUAUUAUAAAUUUUAUUAUAAUAUUUAAAUAUAAAUAAUAUGUAUUAAUAUUGUACAAUUAAUAAUUUUAUAAUAAAAAUAAUGUAUUAUAAUAUAUCAUAUAUUAUAUUUAUAUAAUUUAGUUUUAAUUCAAUUUAUAAUUUUAAUUAAGUUUGAAAUUAAGAAUUGGAAUAGCACUAUUCCACCAAAAUGGCGGAAUAGCAAAUCCCUUGCUAUUCCGGAAUAACCGGGAAUAGCAAGGUUUGACCGAGAUAAAAUAUUCCGGCCAAAUUUCACCCCGUUUGGCGGAAUAGCGGGAUAACUUUCGUUAUCCCCGCUUAUCCCCCUAACCAAACAGGGCCUAAGGACUUAGGGACGUGAGUGACGUGGAUUUGAAUUAUAGCGAAAGCUAAAUGGAUUGGGUUAGUUGAUAGUGUAAGGAAAUGUAUGCAACGGAAAUAAAUUUUAUUUAUAAAAUAUAAUCCAAUCAUGUAUACUUUAAUAUCGUAACAUUUAUGAUAUUAAUAUAUAUAUGUACCAAGAUCAUCUCGUGUGACACAAAAAAAUUAUUAUUCUAAUCUAAUUAGAAGAAAUGUUCGAAUUUCAACCUGUGUUGAUUACUGAAAUUAUUUUACGGUUGAUAUUAGAUCUGAACUUUUGGUUCUUUGAGCCACACAAGUGUUCGGCCUCUAUAUGUAUCCACACAAGGCUGCUCCAGGAUCUGUGCUUCACACAAUCAUAGUGUAAUCUUGAAACUCCUUUUGUGGUCUAUUGUGUCAAUGUGGGGAAAAAUUAAUCCUCAAAAUUGUGCUACCAAUUUGAAGAGGAUUAACUAUAGAGACCAAUUAAUAUAGGAGGACCUCUCUCUUAUGAUUAAAAGAGAGCUUUAUAUGAUUGGAAGAAUUUUCUCUCUCUCUCGCACUUCACUUUACUUGUUGUGAUAAUUAUCAUCAUUGAGAGAUGCCUCAAUUUAU